rnacentral:rRNA from 1 species
UGGGGAAUUUUGGACAAUGGGCGCAAGCCUGAUCCAGCCAUGCCGCGUGCGGGAAGAAGGCCUUCGGGUUGUAAACCGCUUUUGUCAGGGAAGAAAUCUUCUGAGUUAACACCUCGGGAGGAUGACGGUACCUGAAGAAUAAGCACCGGCUAACUACGUGCCAGCAGCCGCGGUAAUACGUAGGGUGCAAGCGUUAAUCGGAAUUACUGGGCGUAAAGCGUGCGCAGGCGGUUUUGUAAGACAGAGGUGAAAUCCCCGGGCUCAACCUGGGAACUGCCUUUGUGACUGCAAGGCUUGAGUGCGGCAGAGGGGGAUGGAAUUCCGCGUGUAGCAGUGAAAUGCGUAGAUAUGCGGAGGAACACCGAUGGCGAAGGCAAUCCCCUGGGCCUGCACUGACGCUCAUGCACGAAAGCGUGGGGAGCAAACAGGAUUAGAUAGCCCUGGUAGUCCACGCCCUAAACGAUGUCAACUGGUUGUUGGGAAGGUUCCUUCUCAGUAACGUAGCUAACGCGUGAA